CCCUCUUCAACCUCUCUUGACUUUCUUUUGCUCUCCCAUUUGGGGAGCCUGAGGCAGAGAAUGAAGAAGCUGUCCUGAAGCUUGUUUAAAGGUGAAGUGUGUCUGUGUUUUUUUGGUGUCCCUGGAAAUUCACACGAGCAACGUUAAGUUCAGCUGCUUGCGCGGGUUGGGGGCAGCACUUUAACGCCUCAGUAUUUCUAAUAUGCGGAUUGAACCUCAGGGUACAGGCCUGUAAUACUAGAGACUCAGGAGGCUGAGGCAGAGAAUUGCAAGUUAAAAGCUGGGCUCAGCAACUAAGGGAGGCCCUGUCUCAAAAAAAUAAAAAGGGCUAGGGAUGUGGCUCAGUGGUUCAGCAUCCUGUUCAAUUCCCAGUACAAAAAAUCAAAACAACCAGUACUGCAGGUAGCUUCACAUGAAGCACAGCAGGAUAAAUUUUCACAGAUCAACAAAUAGAUUCUUAGGAAGUGUUCCUGCUGCUGCCUCUGGUCACUAAGGUAUCUAUGGAGAAGGGCCACAGUGGAACUUCUAAGAUCUCUGGUGAUACAUGCCCCCCAGCACUUCCUGAGGAUUGAAAAACCAGGCCUCAUGCAUGCUAGACAACUGCUCUACCACUGAGCUACCUCUCUAGUCCUUUUUAUUUUUCAUCUUGAGACAAGUGCUCACUAAGUUUCCCAGGCUGGCCUUGAACUUGCAAUUGACUUGUCUCAGCCUCCUGAGUAGCUGGGAUUACUAGCAUAUAUCACUGUACCUAGAAAUCCUGGUGAUUUGUGUAGACACACUUCUAUGUGUUUCAUGUGUAUUUUUUCAUUUAAUACUUAAAAUAUCCUAUGGAAAAAAUACUGUUGUCCCCAUAUUAAAGUGAGGGAGCAUAAAAUUCCUAUUAUUUCACAAGGUUGUACCUUUAUUGUGUUGCAGAAUUGGAUUCAACCCAGGACACAUUCUUUAACCACUCAACUGGAAAGUGAAACCAUUAUGUUGAGCAGGGGAGGGAAGAAGAAUCAAAUAAAUGAGUGUGCUGAAGAGCUUCAUAUCCCACACAGCACUCUGCAGAAGAUUUUGUUUUCAAAUCUUCUGAACUGUGACCUGACCCAGGAGGAGGUCUGAGACUCAUAGAAGGGAGCAUUGAUCUGCUACUGAUGUUGGUCAACUCUGAUGACAUUCCGAUCAGCCUUUACCUUUGAACUGGAUGUUUAGAUGCCUCUAGUCCUCUCAGACUAAUAAUGGGUGGGAUGUCUAGUUGGGAUCCACCUUCUUGGCAUCCUGAACAAAGAACUGAGCAAGACACAGAGAAAUAACAGGUGGAGCAUAGAUUUACUGAAAAUAAAAGUGAAAGUAUCAAUACGUAGAAGACAGUCACUCAAGGCCCUACAUCUGGUGGAGUGCUGUCUUAUGUGCAGCGCUAUACCUCCUUCCCCUCUCCCUACUAAAGACCUUGCUUCAUUUGUUCCCAUUGGUUACUUUAUUUUCAGCUAAUUAGAAUACAAACCGGUGGUGGGACUUACCACAGGCUUUAACCCUUCAGUAGCAGGAGUUGUCAAAAUAAGGGAACUUAUCCUAAGCAAGGAACUGAUGACUCAUCUCCUGGUCUUGUAUUUCAGUCAGCAUUUUUCUUGUAUCCUGUCUCCCCAAUCUAGAUGCCCCUGAACUCCUGCCUCAAGACUCCUUGGAUUGAGGAACAAGUUGGGAGGGCAGAAGUGUUCUGUGGACGGGGUCCAGCAGGGGGAGCUUGUGGUCACAUGAUACUGUAACAGUUGUCCACUUAAUGCUUUGAAUAUAACCCUUGCCACUAGAUCACUGGGACUUAUUUUUAAAAUGCACCUGUUUCUUUCUCUUCCUCUCUCCUUGCUCCCCCCUAAUCUCUCCCCCUCUCUAAUUUCAGGGAAACAGGAUUAACUUUCUUCCCCAUCCCAGGCAGAUUUAUCUGUCCCUGUGUACACACCCACCACAGGAAUGAGGUAAUCCAGACUUUGGGAUGGUACCAGAGGACCUCAGAAAUGAGUAUCACCCAACUUAACAAGUGAAUUACAACUCCAACAGAGAGCACAUGGAAUGUAGCCUUUGAAUCAUCUCUUUAAAAGCUCUCUGUUCCUGCUGAUGGCAGAAUCACAGCCUGUGGGACAGGAGUCCACCGUGUUUCUCUUUUGCUAACAGAAUAAUAAACUUUCUUUUUCCUUUUUCUCAAAACUAUGUUCUUGUUAUUGGAUUGGCAUGGGUGACAAGGACUGAGUUUCAGCAACAAUAUGUCCUAACAGCCACAACCAUCCUGGAGGAGGAACAAUGGCUUCUUUCAGGGGUGCCCACACAAUUUUGUGAACUUAGAUGUUCACAAAUUUUUUUUUAAAUAUUUAUUUUUUUAGGUGUAGAUGGAC
rnacentral:lncRNA from 1 species